CGGACGGGUGAGUAACGCGUGAGAAUCUGCCUAAAGGACUGGGACAACAGCUGGAAACGGCUGCUAAUACCAGAUAUGCCAGAAAGUGAAAAGGGGUAACCCGCCUUUUGAUGAGCUCGCGUCUGAUUAGCUAGUUGGUAGGGUAAAGGCCUACCAAGGCUCCGAUCAGUAACUGGUCUGAGAGGAUGACCAGUCACACUGGGACUGAGACACGGCCCAGACUCCUACGGGAGGCAGCAGUGGGGAAUUUUCCGCAAUGGGCGCAAGCCUGACGGAGCAAUACCGCGUGAGGGAGGAAGGCUCUUGGGUCGUAAACCUCUUUUCUCAGGGAAGAACACAAUGACGGUACCUGAGGAAUCAGCAUCGGCUAACUCCGUGCCAGCAGCCGCGGUAAUACGGAGGAUGCAAGCGUUAUCCGGAAUGAUUGGGCGUAAAGCGUCCGCAGGUGGCAGUGUAAGUCUGCUGUCAAAGGUCAGGGCUCAACCCUGAACAGGCAGUGGAAACUACACAGCUAGAGUGCGGUGGGGGCAGAGGGAAUUCCCAGUGUAGCGGUGAAAUGCGUAGAGAUUGGGAAGAACACCGGUGGCGAAAGCGCUCUGCUAGGCCGCAACUGACACUCAUGGACGAAAGCUAGGGGAGCGAAUGGGAUUAGAUACCCCAGUAGUC
rnacentral:rRNA from 1 species